CUGCACUCUCUAAACCUAAAACUCUCCAUCUCCAAUCCUUCCAAGUCCAAAUCGACGAUUAUUUCCUCCAGAUUCCAGAUCGUCGCCUCCAGCCUAUCGCCUCCUCCCUACAGCCGUGCUCCAGUCCGCUGCCUCCCGUCCCCACUUCGUCACCUCUCCACCCGACCAUCCGUCGCCUACGCCCUUCAGCCAUCCACGCCGCCUCCAGGAAGCUAGGUGUUAAAUAGUAAAAGAGAAACUGUUGGAGAUGUCCUUGGUAUUUGGAAGUUUGAGCAAGAAAAAGUUACAAAGGCUUUAGAUCUAGAAAGGAACUUGCAGAGAAGUUGAAUAGAUAUUGAAGAGUGACCACCGUGAAAUCUCCAUUAGUUAAUCAUGUUGCCUACAUAUUUAUGAAAUUUUAUUUUUGUUGAUGGUGAUGUUGUAGCCUAAAUAUUUAUUUUUGUUGCUUGAGAUGUUAAUCAUGCUAUGGUUUUAUUGUGAAUACUUGGUUUGAAUUUCGGUU